GGGAAACCCCUUUCACUUGGCUCUCAUUCUUCUUGUCUGCUGCCAUAUGAGAUGUACCUUUCACCCUCCACCAUGAUUGUGAGGCCUCUCCAGCCACAUGGAACUGACAGCACAUGUGGCUUUCCUGCAAUGGGAUCGUCCUUCAAGAGGACCUCACAGGCUCUCCACCCGGACUGUGACAGAAAGAAUCUCAGUCAUCUGGACUGCUUUGUGCUAUAUGAAAAUCUCUGAGAACCUUCAAGAGCCCAAAAACAGUUCUCCUCCAUGCUGUAUGCCAUGGUCAGUGGUUAAAGAGAACAUUUUGUUCCACUCCUCCAGCUCUGCCUUAGAAACCCAAGCCCUGCACUCCAAGGCUCCUGGCAUCGUACACCAGCACCAGCAAUUUUCUGCCAAAAGCAUCAGCCAAAAUCUAUUCUAUCUAUUUCAGUUCCUCUCUUUUCAUCGGAUUGUAUUUUUACAGGUGAUUGCUGAUUCUCACACUGCUCUUCAGAUUCAUGUACAGCUGUGGUCUGAAUGUGUGUGUUUUCUCAAAAUUCAAGUUUAAAACUUAAUCCUCAAUGUGAUAGUAUCAACAGCUGCGGCCUUUUGGAAAGUGAAGGUGGAGCCCUCGUGAGUGGGAUUAGAGCUCUUAUAAAAGAGAUUGAAGGGAGCUACCUAGCCCUUCCAUCUCUUCUGCCUUGUGAGGACACAGUGUUCAUCCCUUUUGUCUUCCCACCAUUUGAAGAUGCAGAAAGAAGGUGCCAUCUUGGAAGCAAAGAGCAGCCCUCACCAGACACCAAGUCUGCUGGCACCUUGAUCUUGGACUUCCCAGCCUCCAGGACUGUGAGAAAUGAAUUUCUGUUGUUUAUAAAUUACCUAGUCUAAGGUAUGCUGUUACAGUAGCAGGAAUGGACUAAGACACACAUUGUCAAAAUCUUCAUGAGUUAAAGGUGAAGGUACAAUCAGAACUGGUGCAUGGAAUUGGAACCAUAGGUCUUAGUAAACACUGUAAAAAUGCACUAUUCAAAUCUACAGAAAAUGCUCUCUCUUCAAGUUCAGAAAGAAGCUACAAUCUGCUUUUCCUUUUUUUCUGAAGGGAAGUAAAAUUCUAUGUUUCUGGACUAAGAGGUCUACACCCCAGUCUUUCUCUUUCUGACAUGUAUAGUAAUCUUUGGCAAAUUACUCAAGCUUUCUUUGUUCUGGUGAAAAUAAAGUGCACAGGACAGUAUUACUAAGAGGCCUGAGCAACAUUAGAGGUUGAUAACGAUGGUUCCAAAGGCCUUUAAGAAGGUGUAAUGCUAUGUGGAUGUUUUUAUUGAAACCUUCCCUGGGUUUUCAGAAUUCUCUUUGGAAUUAGUCCUGUGGGAAUAUGCCUUUUGGGAUCUAUUCUCACCUCUUAUUCAGUCCCCCUUUUCUUGCAUUACAAUCUACAAUUUGAAGUUAUUCUGUCAUUUAAAAAUUAGGUCCAUGACCUCAUCAUCACCGGGUUUUCCUCUCCAGGCCAUUUCCAGUAGAAUGUUGGUCAUAUUCUCAUGUGAGAGAACAAAUCAGUUAUUCAUUACAUCUGAUCAAUGAGCUAGUACUACACCAUAAGGAAGUGUAGUAAAACCAGAAACUGGGAAACACCCGAAAAAAUUUGCUUUGUCCUGUGUUUUAAUUUGGGGUAUGAUAAAGUGCCACAGGACAUUAAUCCAGGGACUGAGAUAGACUCUUAAGUUUGGCAAUCAGUGAAAGAACUUGCUGAAUCUCUCUAGAAUUAACCUAAAGGAGCCAGCCUCUUUUCUCAUGAGAACAAUUUAUUUUAGGGUUAGUGGUGAAUUAAUUCUACAGUGUUUAAUUCCACAUAUAAACUUCAUUUUCUAUAUAAAUGUUUUGUUGUAACAUAUUCAAUUACUUCCUUUUGUUGUUUUUCUGCAACAUUCCCUUUUUCACCUUUUCUAACCUCUUAAACCAAAUAAAAAACUCACUUAUCUUCUUGCUGUUGUAAUAUUUGCUUUCCUUUCUUGUUUAUACUCUGUAAUGAUGUUUACCCGAUCUGUCCACAUCACCUGGAUUCCAGGUGUACCAUUCAUGCCCUGGGGAAAGCAGUCAUUCUUCAAGGCAACAGAUGCAAGAAUGAGCUCAUGUCAAAUGAUAUUUUCUGAUUUUUUUCUCCAGAUGUGGGGAACGAAAUUGGAUCUUGUGCUUUUGGGUGCUAACUUUGAGCCCUCUUCCUUUACAUCUAAAUGACAAUUUGUGGAUCAAUGAGGAUGUGUCAACUAGCCAAGAUCGAGGACCUGGAGGGGUGCUCUGUGGAAACUGCUUUAAAAUCCUUCAGAGGGUGGGCACGGAGCUCUGGUUCUGGUUGAAGAGUCCUGUCAAGGCCAUCUCAAAAGGAGAAGCAAAGCCUGCAGAGGAGGCCAGCCUGAGUCCUGGGGUGCGAACGGGUGCUGCGCUCAGCAUGAGGAGGAGGAGACCCUGGCCACAGUUCCAUGAAUCUUUGCUCCCUUCCACAUUAUGGAUUCUGGCUAAGAAGAUUUUCAUCUUUCACCACCUGUUCUGGAUUCUUGGAACAGGUAAAUUCAUUGGCCUACGCAAGUCUGAGCUCUAGGUCUGAACCCGCAUGGACCUGAGGGUGCACCGAGAAAAGAAAGGCUGACAACUGGAUCCCGGGAAUGUCAAGGCCACCCUGGGCUUGAAGGGACCGGCCAUGCCUCCAAGCCUUGCCCAGAGAGGGGGUUCAGGAUGCUGCGUGGUUCCAGGUGAUCUAUUGCUUUCUCGAGUUUAAAGUUCAGAGGAUCAUGAAGUACCACAGCUGGAAGGGGUGUAAGUGACACUGCCUAGCCUAACUCUCUUAAAAAUCAUAGCCCUACUCCUGCCUCCCCAAAUCAGAUACGACAGGCAUAGGCUCUGACUGUUCCUUAAGUCUUAGUGGCAAUACUCCCUGACCAGUUUUGCGGGGUUGCUCCCAGUUCCAUUGCUUUUGUAACAGGUGGCCAGAAAGCCUGGGGUCCCGUGAUAAGAGUUUCAGUUCUUUCCAGGAUGGAUGGAAAGAAGGAAGGAAGGAUGGAUGGAUGGAUGAAUGAAUGAGCGGGUGAGCGGAUGGAUGGAUGGAUGGAUGGAUGGAUGGAUAGAUGGGCCAGAGACUGGGAACGGUAAUGCCGGCCAGACGGGUCCGAGCGCCUCGGGAGCCCCAGCCCUCCUCCGGCUGCGGGGCCGCUGCUCCUGCUCCC
rnacentral:lncRNA from 1 species